AUGCACGCUGGCGGCGUGCCUCAUCCCUGCAAGUCGCGCGAACAGACGAGGAGCUUGCUCCUCUGACGUUAGCGGCGGACGGGUGAGUAACACGUGGAUAACCUACCUAUAAGACUGGGAUAACUUCGGGAAACCGGAGCUAAUACCGGAUAAUAUAUUGAACCGCAUGGUUCAAUAGUGAAAGACGGUUUUGCUGUCACUUAUAGAUGGAUCCGCGCCGCAUUAGCUAGUUGGUAAGGUAACGGCUUACCAAGGCAACGAUGCGUAGCCGACCUGAGAGGGUGAUCGGCCACACUGGAACUGAGACACGGUCCAGACUCCUACGGGAGGCAGCAGUAGGGAAUCUUCCGCAAUGGGCGAAAGCCUGACGGAGCAACGCCGCGUGAGUGAUGAAGGUCUUCGGAUCGUAAAACUCUGUUAUUAGGGAAGAACAAAUGUGUAAGUAACUAUGCACGUCUUGACGGUACCUAAUCAGAAAGCCACGGCUAACUACGUG
rnacentral:rRNA from 1 species